rnacentral:rRNA from 1 species
GUUUUUGCUUUUAUAGCGAUAAACUUAUCAAUAACUGCUUGCUUUAAGCUUGAGGAAGGUGAGGAUUAGGUCAGGUCUUCAUGGCCCUUAUGAACUGGGCUACACACGUGCUACAAUGGGUAGAACAAUAAGUUGCAAUAAUGUAAAUUAAAGCCAUUCUUUAAAUCUUCCCUUAGUUCGGAUUAAGGGCUGCAACUCGCCCUUAUGAAGUUGGAAUCACUAGUAAUCGCGAAUCAGGAUGUCGCGGUGAAUUUGUCACUGGGCCUUG